GACGAACGCUGGCGGCGUGCUUAACACAUGCAAGUCGAACGAUGAUGCCCAGCUUGCUGGGUGGAUUAGUGGCGAACGGGUGAGUAACACGUGAGUAACCUGCCCCUGACUCUGGGAUAAGCGUUGGAAACGACGUCUAAUACUGGAUAUGAUCACUGGCCGCAUGGUCUGGUGGUGGAAAGAUUUUUUGGUUGGGGAUGGACUCGCGGCCUAUCAGCUUGUUGGUGAGGUAAUGGCUCACCAAGGCGACGACGGGUAGCCGGCCUGAGAGGGUGACCGGCCACACUGGGACUGAGACACGGCCCAGACUCCUACGGGAGGCAGCAGUGGGGAAUAUUGCACAAUGGGCGAAAGCCUGAUGCAGCAACGCCGCGUGAGGGAUGACGGCCUUCGGGUUGUAAACCUCUUUUAGUAGGGAAGAAGCGAAAGUGACGGUACCUGCAGAAAAAGCACCGGCUAACUACGUGCCAGCAGCCGCGGUAAUACGUAGGGUGCAAGCGUUGUCCGGAAUUAUUGGGCGUAAAGAGCUCGUAGGCGGUUUGUCGCGUCUGCUGUGAAAUCCCGAGGCUCAACCUCGGGCUUGCAGUGGGUACGGGCAGACUAGAGUGCGGUAGGGGAGAUUGGAAUUCCUGGUGUAGCGGUGGAAUGCGCAGAUAUCAGGAGGAACACCGAUGGCGAAGGCAGAUCUCUGGGCCGUAACUGACGCUGAGGAGCGAAAGCAUGGGGAGCGAACAGGAUUAGAUACCCUGGUAGUCCAUGCCGUAAACGUUGGGCGCUAGAUGUAGGGACCUUUCCACGGUUUCUGUGUCGUAGCUAACGCAUUAAGCGCCCCGCCUGGGGAGUACGGCCGCAAGGCUAAAACUCAAAGGAAUUGACGGGGGCCCGCACAAGCGGCGGAGCAUGCGGAUUAAUUCGAUGCAACGCGAAGAACCUUACCAAGGCUUGACAUACACCGGAAACGGCCAGAGAUKGUCGCCCCCUUGUGGUCGGUGUACAGGUGGUGCAUGGUUGUCGUCAGCUCGUGUCGUGAGAUGUUGGGUUAAGUCCCGCAACGAGCGCAACCCUCGUUCUAUGUUGCCAGCGGGUUAUGCCGGGGACUCAUAGGAGACUGCCGGGGUCAACUCGGAGGAAGGUGGGGAUGACGUCAAAUCAUCAUGCCCCUUAUGUCUUGGGCUUCACGCAUGCUACAAUGGCCGGUACAAAGGGCUGCGAUACCGUAAGGUGGAGCGAAUCCCAAAAAGCCGGUCUCAGUUCGGAUUGAGGUCUGCAACUCGACCUCAUGAAGUCGGAGUCGCUAGUAAUCGCAGAUCAGCAACGCUGCGGUGAAUACGUUCCCGGGCCUUGUACACACCGCCCGUCAAGUCAUGAAAGUCGGUAACACCCGAAGCCGGUGGCCUAACCCUUGUGGAAGGAGCCGUCGAAGGUGGGAUCGGUGAUUAGGACUAAG
rnacentral:rRNA from 1 species